rnacentral:tRNA from 1 species
GCGACUGUGGUGGAAUUGGUAAACACAACAGUUUUAGGUACUGUCGAGCGCAAGCUCCUGCUGGUUCGAGUCCAGUCAGUCGCACCA